UCUCACUCUCCGUCCAGCCACCACCACUUCCGUCCAACCACCGCUGCCGUCGUAACUUCCAACUUUGAACAGCCACCGCCUGCUCCCUCACUUCCCUUCCUUCGCGCAGAAAAUGUCGCAAACUUCCUUCCCUCCAUCGCGAAGCCACCGCUCGAUCGUCAAAGCCUCCAUCGCGCAGCCACUGUCUUGCCGCGCCAGCUCUGUUCCACUGCGCUCCUGUCCCUUCAGCGGCGUCUGCUCUGUUCCAUCGCACGGCCCUUCCCUCGAAGAUUAUUCCCUGGAAUUUCCCUCUUCUCAUGUUUGCUUGGAAGCUCCAUCUCCCUCUCCCUCUCCCUCUCCCUGUUCUAUUCGAAUUUCAGAACAUGCUCCAGCCUAAGGUAGCUAUAAAUUGAAAAAAAGACACUCACUGGGCAGAGCUCCUUUGUUACUUCAGAUGCAAUACCUGAGAUUAAGAAUUGAAUGGAAGAUGAGAAAUAUUGAGUUUCUUUUCGUUUGAUUGUUUGAAUAUGAAUUCAAGAUUUUGUAAAACUGACUUUUACUAGGAAUCUUA